GGAAGGUUACUCAAAUUGGUGAAGAGGACACAUUGCUAACGUGUUAGGGCAGUAAAAUGCUGUGAGAGUUCGAACCUCUCACCUUCCUCA
rnacentral:tRNA from 1 species